CAACAGCAACGAGCUUGGGCCUCUUCGUGGCGCUGUUGACUAGUAGCCCAAAUACGGGGUGAAGCCAACACAGGC
rnacentral:ribozyme from 1 species